rnacentral:lncRNA from 1 species
AUGAUUUUGGAUGCAGAAUAUAUUUUGAAAAUUACUGAUUCCAUUUCCAGAAUGCUGAAGGAAAUGGAGGAAAUGGCAUUUUCUGAUGACAGCUCUAGUACCUACCCUGUGGAGCUGUAUGAGGGCCACUGCUUUUGCUUUAAAACUGAGAAUCAGAGUGUAUGAGCUAAAGCCAAACCCCACAGUUGGAGUGCUUUUAAGACCUGGAACAAGUUAAGAUGUAUGUUUUCUAAUUUAUGAAAGAGGCAAAGAAUGACAGACAAAGAAAGGCCAGGAUAAAGAGAGGAUACAGAGAGGAUAAAGAGAAACUGCCUAUAUGUAAUUAUGAUGUAAGUAUGUAGUUACAAACUGAGAGGUUUUUCAGACAUUAUGUGAUAUUUGCCAUUCCCACAAAAGAAGAAAAGAUAGCACUUUAACAAUGUUUAGAGAAGCUGAGAUAUUUUGCAUUAAAUAGAAAUUCUUGCUGUACACCCCUUUAUUUAAUAUCUCUAAUAAACCACUUUCAACAAUGGUGUUUGGCUAUAAUCUUUAUCAGCUUUCAUUAGUAAUAUUGCUGGGGUAUAUAUAUUAAUAUAGGAGCAUAUGCAAAUAUAUUUCUAUGUUCAGGUUGUGUUGAAAGAUGAUUGUAAAAGAUUUUGCAGCUUUUGAGUUCAAGGAAUCUAAAAUAAGAAAAUGCAAAUUUUUUUAUGCCUACCUGCUUAGGCAUAUACAUCCUGACCAGUUUUGGAUUUCAUGAUCCCAGACUGCCUGUCAUUGCCAGGGAUUAAUAAUGUACUAUAAUGAACAAAUUUUUUUCCUUUAUGUUUAAUUCAUAUCAAUAUAACUGAAUUAUUGCAGCACCUUCUUUGGGGUCACACCAGGGCAGAGCAGAGGGGGACAAUCCCCAGCUUCUACCUGCAGGACAGGCUUCUUUUGAUGCAGCCCAGGAUACAGUUAGUUUUCUGUGCUGUAAACACUUUGUUGCAGGGCUGCUCAUCAUUCCACUUAUCACCCAGUCCGUGUUCAUGUUGGGAUUGCUCUGACC